rnacentral:rRNA from 1 species
AGAGUUUGAUCCUGGCUCAGGACGAACGCUGGCGGCGUGCCUAACACAUGCAAGUCGAGCGGGAACCUGAGGAGGGGUAACCCUCUUCAGGGGAGAGCGGCGAACGGGUGAGUAACACGUGGGCAACCUGCCCCGGACACCGGGAUAACCCAGGGAAACCUGAGCUAAUACCGGAUACUCCGGUUGGAUCGCAUGGUCCGAUCGGGAAAGCUCCGACGGUCCGGGAUGGGCCCGCGGCCUAUCAGCUUGUUGGUGGGGUAACGGCCUACCAAGGCUUCGACGGGUAGCUGGUCUGAGAGGACGGCCAGCCACACUGGGACUGAGACACGGCCCAGACUCCUACGGGAGGCAGCAGUGGGGAAUAUUGCGCUAAUGCGCGAAAGCGUGACGCAGCGACGCCGCGUGGGGGAUGAAGGCCCUCGGGUCGUAAACCCCUUUCGCCAGGGACGAAGGGAGACUGACGGUACCUGGAGAAGAAGUCCCGGCUAACUACGUGCCAGCAGCCGCGGUAACACGUAGGGGACGAGCGUUGUCCGGAUUCAUUGGGCGUAAAGCGCGCGUAGGCGGCCCGGAAAGUCGGUUGUGAAAGCCCGGGGCUCAACCCCGGGACUGCAUCCGAUACUCCCGGGCUGGAGGUAGGUAGGGGAGAUCGGAAUUCCUGGUGUAGCGGUGAAAUGCGCAGAUAUCAGGAGGAACACCGGUGGCGAAGGCGGAUCUCUGGGCCUUACCUGACGCUGAGGCGCGAAAGCUAGGGGAGCGAACAGGAUUAGAUACCCUGGUAGUCCUAGCCGUAAACGUUGGGUGCUAGGUGUGGGCGGACAUCGACCCCGUCCGUGCCGAAGCUAACGCAUUAAGCACCCCGCCUGGGGGAGUACGGUCGCAGGACUAAACUCAAAUGAAUUGACGG